ACUAUUUUGGCAGAAAAGUGCCUUGGAUUUAGAAUCCAAAUAUGUAAAUUAUUACAAGUAGUA
rnacentral:tRNA from 2 species